rnacentral:rRNA from 1 species
CCCUUAGAUGUCCGGGGCUGCACGCGCGCUACACUGAAGGAAUCAGCGUGCUAAAACCAUUGUCGAAAGGCAUUGGUAAACCCAUUAAAAUCCUACGUGAUUGGGAUCGGGAAUUGCAAUUAUUUCCCUUGAACGAGGGAUUCCCAGUAAGUGUGGGUCAUAAGCUCGCGUUGAUUACGUCCCUGCCCUUUGUACACACCGCCCGUCGCUGCCCGGGACUGAGCCGUUUCGAGAAAAGCGGGGACUGCUGCUGUCGGGGCUUUCGGGCCUUGGCUUCGGUGGAAACCGCUUUAAUCGCAGUGGCUUGAACCGGGCAAAAGUCGUANCA